AUGAGCCCGCCGGAUCCGGGCGCCGAGAAGUCGGUCGCGUGGCCGGACCUCCGGGGAAGCCUGGAGGAGGUCGCCGCCCUCGCCGCGGAGCUCGCGGCCGCGGCAGAGGCGCGCGCGGGCCUCUCGCGCCGUCUGGAGGCCGCGCUCGAGGUGAGGAGGGAGUCGGUGCGGCAGGGCGCGGCGCUGGACGAGAUGAGGCGGCGGCUCGACCGGCGGCGGGCGCAAGCGGACGAGCUCGCCGUCGCCAGGCAGAGGGCCGCCGAGGGCGUCGAGCGCUGCAAGGAGCAGAUGCAGGCGCAGAUCGAGCGGGUGCUGCCGCUCUCCAGGGCCCUCGCCGCCGCGCACCGGCAAGUGCAGGAUGCCAAGGAGGGAUUAUCCGCGGAGAGGGCGCGGCUUGGGGAUCUGCAGAGGCUGCUCAGGACGAGGCAGCAGUCCAUGGUAGCCCAGGUCGCCGCCCUGUACCCUGUCAGGGUCUUCCGUGACCUGCCGGUUGCACAAAACCACCAUUCCCGUACCAAUGGAGAGUGUCGAACACCUUCCGAAGAGAAUGGGGCACUUCCGCACGAGAAUGGAAAUGGAACACAUUUGCUCAGCGUUAUCAAAUCUCCACAUGUUGGCCCCUUGACGUUUUUUGGUUGGCAAAUUGGAAAGCCCAAGACAAAGCAGCCGAGUUACAGUCACAAGGAGCUUCAGAGGUCAGCAGCUGUGCUUGGAUAUGCCGCGCAUGCAGUCUUGCUUAUUGCCUCAUAUCUUGACAUUCCCCUCCGAUAUCCUUUGCGCUUUGGAGGAUCACGAUCUUAUGUCGGUGAUCGUUUGCCUUCAGCUGAAGCAUCAUCCAUGGCUUCAACAGAACAUCGAAGCGUCGACAGCGCUGACUCAAAACUAACAGAUUAUCCCCUUUUCUUGGAAUAUCAAGAUGACUCAACAAAGGCAUCCUACGCCAUUUACCUGUUGCAAAAGGAUACGGAGCAGCUCUUGAACUACAUUGGAGCAGAGAGUUCUGGGAGGAAUGCAUUCGGUAAUCUGCAGGAGCUUAUUAGGAUUAUACAGUCAGAUGAGUAUCUGUACAUAUGA
rnacentral:rRNA from 1 species